rnacentral:rRNA from 1 species
AUUGAACGCUAGCGGGAUGCUUUACACAUGCAAGUCGAACGGCAGCGCGGACUUCGGUCUGGCGGCGAGUGGCGAACGGGUGAGUAAUGUAUCGGAACGUGCCCAGUAGCGGGGGAUAACUACGCGAAAGCGUAGCUAAUACCGCAUACGCCCUACGGGGGAAAGCAGGGGAUCGUAAGACCUUGCACUAUUGGAGCGGCCGAUAUCGGAUUAGCUAGUUGGUGAGGUAACGGCUCACCAAGGCGACGAUCCGUAGCUGGUUUGAGAGGACGACCAGCCACACUCGGACUGAGACACGGCCCAGACUCCUACGGGAGGCAGCAGUGGGGAAUUUUGGACAAUGGGGGCAACCCUGAUCCAGCCAUCCCGCGUGUGCGAUGAAGGCCUUCGGGUUGUAAAGCACUUUUGGCAGGAAAGAAACGUCGCGGGCUAAUACCCCGUGGAACUGACGGUACCUGCAGAAUAAGCACCGGCUAACUACGUG